rnacentral:rRNA from 1 species
UACAGAGGGGGCAAGCGUUGUUCGGAAUUACUGGGCGUAAAGGGCGCGUAGGCGGCCUGUUAAGUCGAACGUGAAAUCCCCGGGCUCAACCCGGGAACUGCGUCCGAUACUGGCAGGCUUGAAUCCGGGAGAGGGAUGCGGAAUUCCAGGUGUAGCGGUGAAAUGCGUAGAUAUCGGGAGGAACACCAGUGGCGAAGGCGGCUUUCUGGGCCUUACCUGACGCUGAGACGCGAAAGCGUGGGGAGCGAACCGG